AAGACCUUCUGACUUUCACUUUUAAUAUUAAAUUAUCUAAAGUUUUGUGAUAAGAAUUAUUUUUUAUUAUUGAAUACAGUUUACACAAUAUAAGAUAAUUUAAAUAUCCUUAGACACAGUUUUUAUUUAAUUUAUUAAGCAUAUAAAUUUGACUAUAACAAAUAUUAUUCAAAUUUUGAUUCUUAAUAUUAAAUUACCUAAUUAUUUUUGAUUGAAAUGAGUCCUAGAAUCUCUCACUCGUUUUGAUAUACAUUUUUACAAUAUUUGAUAAAA